GGGCUGGCCUAGGCCAUGAGCUAAGGUUACAUAUAGAGUGGCUUCAGUGGAUCUGGGAACAGUAACAGAGUGUAUUCCCUGGUGCACAGCUUGGCGAGUUUGGAUCCUGGAAUCAUGAGCGGGUGCCCCUUCGCAGGGAACAACUACCCAUUUAAUUUUAACAAGCUAUCUUUGGAAGAUGAAAAAGAAGACAAAUCACAAGAAGGGAUAAAUAAAGCCAGCAAAGGUGGACUUGUCUAUGGAGAUUACCUACAGCUAAACAAAAUAUUGAAUGCUCAAGAACUUCAGAGUGAGAAGAAAGGAAAAAAAAUCCAUGAUGAGCAUCUUUUCAUUGUGACGCAUCAAGCUUAUGAACUUUGGUUUAAGCAGAUUCUGUGGGAAAUGGACUCUGUGCGAGUGAUCUUUCAAAAUGGCCACGUAAGAGAUGAGAGGAACAUGCUGAAGGUUAUUACUCGAAUGAACAGAAUUUCAAUGAUUCUGAAAUUACUUGUGGAACAGUUCUCAGUUUUGGAAACUAUGACUGCAUUGGACUUCUUUGAUUUCAGAUACUACCUAAGCCCAGCAUCAGGUUUCCAGAGCCUGCAGUUUCGCUUGCUAGAGAACAAAAUUGGUGUUCCCCAAAGUCUGAGAGUCCCCUAUAACAGAAGGCAUUAUCGUGAUAACUUCAAGGGACAGGAUUAUGAACUACUGCUUAAAUCAGAGCAAGAACCUACGCUACUGCAACUUGUGGAGGCAUGGCUGGAAAGAACUCCAGGACUCGAGGCAGAAGGAUUUGAUUUCUGGGGACAAUUUGAAGUGAAUGUUUUAAAAGGUCUAGAAGAGGAAUUUGCCUUGGUGCAGGCCAAACCAGAAUCAGAAGAAAAAGAUGAUUUAUUAUCUGAAUUCCAGAAACAGAAAGAUGUAUUGCUCUCAUUAUUUGAUGAAAAACGCCAUGAACACCUGCUUAGUAAAGGAGACAGACGACUGUCUUACAAAGCACUGAAGGGUGCCUUGAUGAUCUACUUCUACAGGGAGGAGCCUCGCUUUCAGGUUCCCUUUCAGCUUCUUACCUCCCUUAUGGAUAUCGAUGUGCUCAUGACCAAAUGGAGAUACAACCACGUCUGCAUGGUGCACAGAAUGAUUGGCAGCAAGGCUGGCACUGGAGGCUCCUCAGGCUACCAAUAUUUGCGCUCAACAGUGAGUGACAGAUACAAGGUGUUUGUGGAUUUGUUCAAUCUUUCAACAUUUCUAGUGCCCAGACACUGGAUACCAAAGAUGAAUCCAACCAUUCACAAAUUCCUUUACACAGCGGAAUACUGUGACAGCUCCUAUUUUAGCAGCGAUGACUCUGACUAGCCUGCCUUUGUAGACUGGUUGCUGCAAAGAACUUCAGGACUUUCACCUUGAGUGGUGCUGCCCGUCAAAUACAACAGCUGCUCUCAUGGAGGUUGCGGAGGAGUGCUAUUGUUGUUUGUAAACUGCUAAGGGAAGGCCAUACUACAGAAGACUGUAAGACUACAGAAGACUUCCCCUCUUGUUAAUCUGAAGUUUUCAGCCAGUAAAUUCAGUAAGUAGCAGAACAUGAAAUAGCGAGAACAUAGCACUUGGUCUUCCUUUAAUUUAAAAUAUUAACACUUAGAAGCAGAAGGACUAAAAUUAUAAUACUUACAAUAGACUAUUAUGAUUGCAUUUGUCAUAAAAAGAUAAUAAUGUGGUGAUCUAUUGACAAGGUACAGUAACUGAAUGCAAAAAACUACAGAAUUGCUUCAAUACUUUUCAUAGUAGUGCUUUAGAAAGGACACAGGUAAAGCAUUCAAGAUGAAAGACUCAAAGCAUUUUGGAAUUACAUGUUUGGUUGUGAAUCUUAAUUACAUUUGCCUCUAAACACAAUUUUACAGGUCAACAGGGCCUUUUGAUUGCCAGCAAGUCCCACCUAUAUUAAUUCAAUUAAUGUAUGGAAAUUUAACAUCCACUCUAUUUGCAGUAUUGUAUAACUGCUGAUUUUCUAAAGGUGCUCAAUAUAUAUUAACAAACCCCACCCUCACCAUUUUUUUCUAUAAUAAAUAAGGUUUUUAAUUUC